rnacentral:rRNA from 1 species
UGGGGAAUAUUGCACAAUGGGCGAAAGCCUGAUGCAGCAACGCCGCGUGCGUGAUGAAGGCCUUCGGGUUGUAAAGCUCUGUCUUCUGGGACGAUAAUGACGGUACCAGAGGAGGAAGCCACGGCUAACUACGUGCCAGCAGCCGCGGUAAUACGUAGGUGGCAAGCGUUGUCCGGAUUUACUGGGCGUAAAGGAUGCGUAGGCGGAUACUUAAGUCAGAUGUGAAAAUCCCGGGCUUAACUUGGGAACUGCAUUUGAAACUGGGUAUCUAGAGUGCGGGAGAGGAAAGGGGAAUUCCUAGUGUAGCGGUGAAAUGCGUAGAGAUUAGGAAGAACACCAGUGGCGAAGGCGACUUUCUGGACCGUAACGGACGCUGAGGCAUGAAAGCGUGGGGAGCAAACA